rnacentral:lncRNA from 1 species
AUGGGUUUUCUUUGUUUUCAGUUUUCUACCUUAAAAGGUAAAUUAGUUUUUGAGUUUCUGUAUUUUAUGGGUUUUAAUCAUGUGAGUUCAAAAUCAAAAUGUUUAACGCCGUGAGUCAUUAUAGCCACUUUUCUUAACCAUUUGAGUCCAAAUUUCUAACACUGUUAGAAUUUUUUGGUUAAGUAUUGUUAAAUGACCAAAAUACCCUUAUAGUUAAAAAAUUAAAAAAAUAUUGUUAUUAGAUUUUUUUUCUCUCUCUUGUAUAUCUCUCUCCCUCUUAUCUUUUUCUCUCUAUCUAAACAUUCUGCACCUUCAUCUCUCUCUCAUCUUUCUUUCUUUCUCUAGACCACCUGCAACCCCCACCACCACACCACCACCGUCACCACCACAGCCACAACCACCUCCAUAACCAACCACCACCACCACAACAACCACAAACCUCCAGCACAGUCACCACUGUCACCGACGCACCACCACCACAUCACCAUCACCAUCACCAACACCAACACCUACAUCGCACCACCACCAUCAACACAUCAUCAUCAUCGCCUCCAUACCCAACACAAACCCUUGUUCUCUUCAUUCAAAAAUUGCAAUCAAACACACACCACACACAGUAUCAAUCAUCAUCUGUAUUUGACCUAAUUCACCAGAUUCAAAACUUUUCGAUCUCAAAUCACCGUUUAGCCUGUUAUUAUACCGUUAAUCUGUUCAAUCGCAGGUAAAAAGUUCAUCAAUUGCUUUUCUAUUUGAUGUUGCUUUUAGUUUAGAUUUUGAUCUUGUUCUUUUGAGAAAAGUAGCUUUUUGCAAAUUCAAAUCGUAUUACAAAGAUUGUACCCAUUUGGUCUCUACUCCAAUACUUAACAUAUGCUUCAAGCCCCAACAAGCCUUGUGAAGAAACGGUCACCGGAAAUCUCCCUUUUGAAUUCCAUCGGUUACCACUCUUCUACAAAAGUCAAGUUUACCCACAGCCUGCCUAGAUGAAGAAACGACGAUUGGGGGUUCAAAUCGGAUAUAUAUUCUGGAUUCUUUCUUUUCUUCCAAUCGAUUAUGUUUGAUUCGUACAUUUGUUCUUUGUCCAGUAGAUCAUGCCGAUAUGUUUUGUUAUUUUUAGAGCCUUUUUUUUCCUUUUCGAUUACACAUGAUGUCACUCAAAAAGAAUUCUGGUUUUGAAUUGCCCGUUAAAAAAUAAUCACUUGCUAUUAUGUUU